rnacentral:rRNA from 1 species
UACGGAAGGCAGCAGUGGGGAAUAUUGCACAAUGGGCGCAAGCCUGAUGCAGCCAUGCCGCGUGUAUGAAAAAGGCCUUCGGGUUGUAAAGUACUUUCAGUCGUGAGGAAGGUGUUAAGGUUAAUAACCUUAGCAAUUGACGUUAGCGACAGAAGAAGCACCGGCUAACUCCGUGCCAGCAGCCGCGGUAAUACGGAGGGUGCGAGCGUUAAUCGGAAUUACUGGGCGUAAAGGGCACGCAGGCGGUUAAUUAAAGUUGGAUGUGAAAUCCCCGGGCUUAACCUGGGAAUGGCAUUCAAGACUGGUUAGCUAGAGUCUUGUAGAGGGGGUAGAAUUCCAUGUGUAGCGGUGAAAUGCGUAGAGAUGUGGAGGAAAUACCGGUGGCGAAAGGCGGCCCCCUGGACAAAAGACUGACGCUCAUGUGCGAAAAGCGUGGGGAGCAAAACAGGGAUUAGAUACC